rnacentral:rRNA from 1 species
GCCUACGGGACGCAGCAGUGGGGAAUAUUGCGCAAUGGGCGAAAGCCUGACGCAGCGACGCCGCGUGAGUGAUGAAGGUCUUCGGAUCGUAAACCUCUGUCAGCAGGGAAGAACGGUCACUGUGCUAAUCAGCAGUGCAUUGACGGUACCUGCAAAGGAAGCACCGGCUAACUCCGUGCCAGCAGCCGCGGUAAUACGGAGGGUGCGAGCGUUAAUCGGAAUUACUGGGCGUAAAGCGCUCGUAGGCGGUAUGUCAAGUCAGGGGUGAAAUCCCCGCGCUCAACCUGGGAACUGCCUUUGAAACU